rnacentral:rRNA from 1 species
GUGAGGAAUAUUGGUCAAUGGGCGAGAGCCUGAACCAGCCAAGUAGCGUGCAGGAUGACGGCCCUAUGGGUUGUAAACUGCUUUUAUACGGGGAUAAAGUGAGCCACGUGUGGCUUAUUGCAGGUACCGUAUGAAUAAGGACCGGCUAAUUCCGUGCCAGCAGCCGCGGUAAUACGGAAGGUCCGGGCGUUAUCCGGAUUUAUUGGGUUUAAAGGGAGCGUAGGCCGUCUGUUAAGCGUGUUGUGAAAUGUCGGGGCUCAACCUGGGCAUUGCAGCGCGAACUGGCAGACUUGAGUGCACGGGAAGUAGGCGGAAUUCGUCGUGUAGCGGUGAAAUGCUUAGAUAUGACGAAGAACUCCGAUUGCGAAGGCAGCCUGCUGUAGUGCAACUGACGCUGAAGCUCGAAAGCGUGGGUAUCGAACAGGAUUAGAAACCCUAGUAGUCC